GUGAGGAAUAUUGGUCAAUGGGCGAAAGCCUGAACCAGCCAUGUCGCGUGAAGGAUGAAGGUCCUAUGGAUUGUAAACUUCUUUUGCAGGAGGGUAAAGUGAGCUACGUGUAGUUCAUUGCAAGUACCCUGCGAAUAAGCAUCGGCUAACUCCGUGCCAGCAGCCGCGGUAAUACGGAGGAUGCGAGCGUUAUCCGGAUUUAUUGGGGUUAAAGGGUGCGUAGGCGGACUAAUUAGUCAGCGGUGAAAUUUUGCGGCUCAACCGUAAAACUGCCGUUGAAACUGUUAGUCUUGAGUGCGGUAGAGGUAGGCGGAAUGUGUGGUGUAGCGGUGAAAUGCUUAGAUAUCACACAGAACACCGAUUGCGUAGGCAGCUUACUGGAGCGCAACUGACGCUGAGGCACGAAAGCGUGGGGAUCGAACAGGAUUAGAUACCCUUGUAGUCC
rnacentral:rRNA from 1 species